ACUUCCCCUAGAGGCAUUGCAGAUGGGGCAGCUGUGUCACAUUUGUGUCUUUAGGUGGCAGAGAGAAGAGAGGCUAUGUCUACAUUCAGUGUUCUGACCCAUGAAUGUUUGAAUGAUUAAUAGUCUGACAUA
rnacentral:snoRNA from 1 species